rnacentral:rRNA from 1 species
GUAACUACUGGAAACGGUAGCUAAUACCGCAUAACGUCGCAAGACCAAAGAGGGGGACCGUUCGGGCCUCUUGCCAUCAGAUGUGCCCAGAUGGGAUUAGCUAGUAGGUGGGGUAACGGCUCACCUAGGCGACGAUCCCUAGCUGGUCUGAGAGGAUGACCAGCCACACUGGAACUGAGACACGGUCCAGACUCCUACGGGAGGCAGCAUG